UCCGCGAUAGCUCAGCAGGUAGAGCAAGUGACUGUUAAUCACUGGGUCCCUGGUUCGAACCCAGGUCGCGGAGCCA
rnacentral:tRNA from 1 species